GACGAACGCUGGCGGCGUGCCUAAUACAUGCAAGUCGAGCGGAAGUUGGAGAGCCUGCUCUUCAACUUUAGCGGCGGACGGGUGAGUAACACGUGGGCAACCUGCCCUGCAGAUCGGGAUAACUCCGGGAAACCGGUACUAAUACCGAAUAGUUUUCGCCACCUCCUGGUGGCGUACGGAAAGACGGUUUCGGCUGUCACUGCAGGAUGGGCCCGCGGCGCAUUAGCUAGUUGGUGGGGUAACGGCCCACCAAGGCGACGAUGCGUAGCCGACCUGAGAGGGUGAUCGGCCACACUGGGACUGAGACACGGCCCAGACUCCUACGGGAGGCAGCAGUAGGGAAUCUUCCGCAAUGGACGAAAGUCUGACGGAGCAACGCCGCGUGAGUGACGAAGGUUUUCGGAUCGUAAAACUCUGUUGUGAGGGAAGAACAAGUACCAACUAACUACUGGUACCUUGACGGUACCUCACCAGAAAGCCACGGCUAACUACGUGCCAGCAGCCGCAGUAACAC
rnacentral:rRNA from 1 species